rnacentral:rRNA from 1 species
AUUGAACGCUGGCGGCAUGCCUUACACAUGCAAGUCGAACGGCAGCGCGGACUUCGGUCUGGCGGCGAGUGGCGAACGGGUGAGUAAUACAUCGGAACGUACCCUGUUGUGGGGGAUAACUAGUCGAAAGAUUAGCUAAUACCGCAUACGACCUGAGGGUGAAAGUGGGGGACCGGAAACGGCCUCAUGCAGCAGGAGCGGCCGAUGUCUGAUUAGCUAGUUGGUGGGGUAAAGGCCCACCAAGGCGACGAUCAGUAGCUGGUCUGAGAGGACGAUCAGCCACACUGGGGCUGAGACACGGCCCAGACUCCUACGGGAGGCAGCAGUGGGGAAUUUUGGACAAUGGGGGCAACCCUGAUCCAGCAAUGCCGCGUGGGUGAAGAAGGCCUUCGGGUUGUAAAGCACUUUUGUCCGGAAAGAAAUCGCGCUGGUUAAUACCUGGCGUGGAUGACGGUACCGGAAGAAUAAGCACCGGCUAACUACGU